rnacentral:tRNA from 1 species
UCUCUGGUGGCUCAGAUGGUAAAGAAUCUGCCUUCAAUGCAGGAGACCCAGGUUCAAUCCCUAGAUAGGGAA